GUACUGGACUCAAGGCUAUCAACCUCUAAGCAUCCAUUAACUACCAGCCUGGUCGAGAAUCAACGUAGUCGACAUAGCCAGUUAAUUCCGCUGUUACACAUCGGUCGGUCAGAAUAGAUGUAGCUAGAAGCAACGAAAGAUAAGAUCAAUCUGGCCGGAAGAAUGAAGAGGGGGCUACAUAAGAUAGGCUGGUGUACAAGUAACGGUUAAUUCACAUGCUGCGAAUCGUAUCCUGCGAAAAUGCCGAGUGCUUAUCUUAACCUGCGAGGCAGCACGAUGUCUAUUUGGGGACAUCAAGAUUAAUAGUAGAUUUAAAAGUGUCUAUGAUUGAAAGGCUACAUCCGGCCGAUCUGGGACGUCUUGUACGCGUGCAUGUAUUCACCUCCCCGGACUCCUCCUCCCCCGCGCUUCUUCAUCGCAGCUUGGUC